GACGAACGCUGGCGGCGUGCUUAACACAUGCAAGUCGAACGGAAAGGCCCUGCUUGCCGGGUACUCGAGUGGCGAACGGGUGAGUAACACGUGGGUGAUCUGCCCUGCACUUCGGGAUAAGCCUGGGAAACUGGGUCUAAUACCGGAUAGGAGCCAUUUUUAGUGUGAUGGUUGGAAAGUUUUUUCGGUGUAGGAUGAGCUCGCGGCCUAUCAGCUUGUUGGUGGGGUAAUGGCCUACCAAGGCGGCGACGGGUAGCCGGCCUGAGAGGGUGGACGGCCACAUUGGGACUGAGAGACGGCCCAGACUCCUACGGGAGGCAGCAGUGGGGAAUAUUGCACGAUGGGCGCAAGCCUGAUGCAGCGACGCCGCGUGGGGGAUGACGGCCUUCGGGUUGUAAACUCCUUUCGCUAGGGACGAAGCUUUUUGUGACGGUACCUAGAGAAGAAGCACCGGCUAACUACGUG
rnacentral:rRNA from 1 species